GAUGAACGCUGGCGGCGUGCCUAAUACAUGCAAGUCGAGCGAACGGACGAGAAGCUUGCUUCUCUGAUGUUAGCGGCGGACGGGUUAGUAACACGUGGAUAACCUACCUAUAAGACUGGGAUAACUUCGGGAAACCGGAGCUAAUACCGGAUAAUAUUUUGAACCGCAUGGUUCAAAAGUGAAAGACGGUCUUGCUUUCACUUAUAGAUGGAUCCGCGCUGCAUUAGCUAGUUGGUAAGGUAACGGCUUACCAAGGCAACGAUGCAUAGCCGACCUGAGAGGGAGAUCGGCAACACUGGAACUGAGACACGGUACAGACUCCGACGGGAGGCAGCAGUAGGGAAUCUUCCGCAAGGGGGGAAAGCCUGACGGAGCAACGCCGCGUGAGUGAUGAAGGUCUUAGGAUCGUAAAACUCUGUUAUUAGGGAAGAACAUAUGUGUAAGUAACUGUGAACAUCUUGACGGUACCUAAUCAGAAAGCCACGGCUAACUACGUG
rnacentral:rRNA from 1 species